AUCUUCUCUGUUUUCCUUAAAAUUCCUCUCUCUGCUCAGAGAACUGGCUAGUUUGAUCUCAGCCCCCAUCAGUUUGUUGUGCUCUUGACUCCAUGACCAGCAGGCCUGUCACUUCUGGCUUCAUGUGGCUCCAGGGAAUGUUGUUCUUUGAUCUCAAGAGAUGCGAGAAGGACCUGGGAGCAAUACCUUCCUCAUGGGAUUGUGAAGUGAACUAAAGGAUGAAUUGAAAGUGCUGAACACAGUCAUUGACAGAGUCAGCUUCCUGGGGAACACAACUUGCACCUCUGUGCUCUCAAUAAAGGCCUUUCCCCCUACCCAUCUCCUUUCUCUUUCUCAAAUCCCUGCCUAGCAGUCGCCCUUAGAUGCAGCUGAGGAGGGAGGAGGAAGCCUUGGGAGUGCAGCUGAGAGAUGGUGAUGGGAAACAGCUAAAUUACUUCAGAGGCCAAUUCAGAAACUUCAGCUUCCCUUCUAUCGGGAGCCUGUGUGGAGCCCUGUGAAGAUAAUACCAAGGAACAGAGGAAAUCAAUAUCUGAAGGCUCUACUAAUUGCAUGGCUGUCAGAAGAGCUUCAGACUUUUGAGUGGGUACCAGGCUUUUCAAUUUCAUGGACCACUGAGAGAGAAAACAAAAAAGGUUGUUCCUACCGGGCAUUUCCUCCUCGUGCUCCAGCAGCAGUCAAAGCCCUUUCCCU